UACGAAGGGUGCAAGCGUUAAUCGGAAUUACUGGGCGUAAAGCGCGCGUAGGUGGUUCAGUAAGUUGGAAGUGAAAUCCCCGGGCUCAACCUGGGAACUGCUUUCAAAACUGCUGAGCUAGAGUACGGUAGAGGGUGGUGGAAUUUCCUGUGUAGCGGUGAAAUGCGUAGAUAUAGGAAGGAACACCAGUGGCGAAGGCGACCACCUGGACUGAUACUGACACUGAGGCGCGAAAGCGUGGGGAGCAAACAGG
rnacentral:rRNA from 1 species